rnacentral:rRNA from 1 species
AAUGUAGUGCCUACAGUGUUAAUGCAUCGGAUCCCAUUAGAACUCUGUAGUUAAUCGUGUUUGGGCUAGAGUAGUAUUGGGAUGGGUGACCUCAUGGGAAUUCAUAGUGUUUUACAUGC